rfam:Schistosoma haematobium scaffold162_16, whole genome shotgun sequence.
AUCCAGCUGGCGAGUCCCAAACAGGAAGAAACGCAUGUCCUGGAU